GAUGAGUGCCAUCGUUACGAUAUUAUUAUAUUUAUUCCUAUAAGCCACCUAAUAAGUAUGCAACCAGUUAUGCGUUCGUGCUUAGAACGGGUUACCUAGAUUUGUGACCAAAUAUAAUAGAAGGUUGGUACUACGCUUGGGGAAUUCUGGUCUUAGCUUGUGGCUGUACGGCUUCCGACGGAGGGGCAUGUCAUAUCGCCCAUCGGAGAGGAUUGUCACUUCAAUUUUCAAUCUGGUUGGAUGAAUAAGUAAAUUUUUCCGUGGUCACUGUUUAAAGAAUACAAUAUUUAGUUAAAAUAUUCAUUUAUUAUAAGAUUGGUUUAUUUUGGAAGGAGCUAUUUUUUGUUUUGGAUUUGUGCGGUGAGAGGAAGAGUUUUAUUUCCAAGUUUCCUUUUGGAAAACAGUGGCCACGGAAGAAAAUAAGAAGAUGGAAAAUUAAGUCAAUCAUACUUUAAUUUGUUUUUUUGGAAUACAUAAUCAUUUUGGGGAUAUUUUGGAUGGAAUGUGGAUGUUUUGUUUGGUUUUUGUGGAAUAAAAGUUGAGUUUUCCGAUACUGGGCAGCUACCUGCUUGCCGUACCUUCCUGUUGGUGUGGAGUAC
rnacentral:lncRNA from 1 species